rnacentral:rRNA from 1 species
GAGUAGAGUGGCAAACGGGUGAGUAACACGUGGGUGACCUGCCUUCGAGCGGGGGAUAACGUCCCGAAAGGGACGCUAAUACCGCAUAACAUCCUGCCUUUGAAGAGGCGGUGAUCAAAGCUGGGGAUCGCAAGACCUAGCACUCGAAGAGGGGCCCGCGUCCGAUUAGCUAGUUGGUGAGGUAAUGGCUCACCAAGGCAACGAUCGGUAGCCGGCCUGAGAGGGCGGACGGCCACACUGGGACUGAGACACGGCCCAGACUCCUACGGGAGGCAGCAGUGGGGAAUUGUUCGCAAUGGGCGCAAGCCUGACGACGCAACGCCGCGUGGAGGAUGAAGAUCUUCGGGUCG